rnacentral:rRNA from 1 species
GACGAACGCUGGCGGCGUGCUUAACACAUGCAAGUCGAACGGAGUGGCGAACGGGUGAGUAACCCGGGGGUGAACUUCCUUGCACUUCGGGAUAAGCUGGGGAAACUGGGUCUAAUACCGGAUAGUGCAAGAUGAGCUCGGGGCCUAUCAGCUUGGUGGUGGGGUAAUGGUCUACCAAGGCGUCGACGGGUAGCCGGCCUGAGAGUGUGUACGGCCACCUUGGGACUGAGGUAGGGAGCAGACGGCAACGGGAGGCAGUGGUGGGGAAUAUGUCACAAUGGGCGGAAGUCUGAUGAGGCGACGCCGGGUGGGGGAUGAAGUGUUUUGGGUUGUAAACUCCUUUCGUCAGGGACGCGGUACCUGUAUAAGAAGCACCGGCUAACUACGUGCCAGCAGCCGCGGUAAUAC